rnacentral:rRNA from 1 species
GUAGGAUUCGAACGUUAUCCGGAUUUACUGGGCGUAAAGCGCGUGCAGGGCGGGUUUGGGAAAGUUGGGAUGUGAAAGCUCCGGGCUCAACCCGGAGAGGUCAUUCAAAACUACCAGACUAGAGGACGGUAGAGGGAGGUGGAAUUCCGGGUGUAGCGGUGAAAUGCGUAGAUAUCCGGAGGAACACCAGUGGCGAAGGCGGCCUCCUGGGCCGUUCCUGACGCUCAGACGCGAAAGCUAGGGGAGCAAACGGGAUUAGAAACCCCGGUAGUCCUAGCUGUAAACGAUGUAGACUUGGUGUUGGUGGCCUUAAAACCAUCAGUGCCGCAGCUAACGCGAUAAGUCUACCGCCUGGGGAUUACGACCGCAGGGUUA